rnacentral:rRNA from 1 species
CAAAAACAUGUCCUUUAGGAUUGAAUUUAAGGUCUAGCCUGCCCACUGAAUUAUUAAAUGGCCGCAGUAUUUUAACUGUGCAAAGGUAGCAUAAUCAUUAGUCUUUUAAUUGAAGGCUUGUAUGAAUGGUUGGACAAAAUAUAUAUUGUUUCAUUUAAAUUUAUAGAAUUUUAUUUUUUAGUUAAAAAGCUGAAAUUUAAUUAAAAGACGAGAAGACCCUAUAGAUCUUUAUAAUUGUUGAAUUUAAUUUAUGAAGAAUAUUUUAUUUUUUAUUUAUAUAAUUAUUUUAUUGGGGUGAUAGUAAGAUUUAUUUAACUCUUGUAUAAUUUAAUACAUAAAUUAAUGAUUAAUUGAUCCAGUAUUAUUGAUUAGUAAAAUAAGUUACCUUAGGGAUAACAGCGUAAUUUUUUUAGAGAGUUCAUAUCGAUAAAAAAGAUUGCGACCUCGAUGUUGGAUUAAGAGAUAAGUUUGGGCGCAGCCGUUCAAAUUUAAAGUCUGUUCGACUUUUUGAUUCUUACAUGAUCUGA